rnacentral:misc_RNA from 1 species
AAGUCGUAACAAGGUCUCCGUUGGUGAACCAGCGGAGGGAUCAUUAAAGAGUUUAAAAACUCCCAAAACCCAUGUGAACUUACCAUUGUUGCCUCGGCGGUACCUACCUGGUGCCUACCCUAUAGCGAGCUGCCCUGUAGCGUGGUCACCCUAUAGCUACCCUGUAGCGAGUUACCUUGCAGCUACCCUAUAGCGUGGUUACCCUGUAGCGUCCGCCGGUGGACAUCUAAACUCUUGUUAUUUUAGUGUUAUCUGAGCGUCUUAUUUUAAUAAGUCAAAACUUUCAACAACGGAUCUCUUGGUUCUG